CACAAAGCAGGGGGAAAAUAGAGUUGAAAUUUGGAACACGUUUUCUUUAUGGUGUGUUGCACAAAAAUGACUAAAUAAUACAUGUGACUUCUCAGGGGCAUUGUUUAUAUUUCAAAAAGAAAAUGAGAAUUUUUAAAAAAUCUUUUUUUUUUUUAAUCUAAAUUUUUUAAAAAAAAAAUUGACUAGGAACAUAUUUUCAUUUAUUUGUUUAUUUUGUUUAUAAUGUGUGGAACAAAUCAAAAAAUACAUUUGACUAGUUCUUUCUUUCUUUCUUUCUUUCUUUCUUUCUUCAAAAAGAACAAAAAUAAAACUAAUAUGUAGUGGAAAUUUGACUCGGGGAACAAUAUACUUGUGUACCAUGUUUUAUUUAUUUGUUUUUGCAUGUUUGUUUGUUUAUCAUUUAUAAUCAUGUGUGUAAUGAUUUUGACGUGCGGUUUCCAUGACGAUAAGUGCUGGUCUUAAACGUUCUAUUACAUUUUGCUGCGAGUGGAAAAACAGGCCCUGCUUAUCUAUCUUUUCCGUGAGUGCUUGCUGUAAGUUGAAGAGACGCAGGGCUGCGAGGCCGAGUCUGAUCUGCUCAUGCACGUCGUCAGUGUGUGAAAUCUCAGUCCUGUGUAAUGGGAUAAAGGGAGGAUUUCGGCACUGCCUGCUUUAUUGGUUUAUUGAGCGUGUUCUGGUAAUGACCUGCACGCCGCUCAUCAUCCUGCGCGCCUGACCCGCUAUUAGCUCACGGGAUUAUCCAGGCUGAGGACUCGAGGCUGGCUAAAACAGCACUCAGACCAAACAACAGUUCCCUCUAUGGAAAAGCUGAUUGACUGAAGGGGAAAGGACGCGGGACCCGUGUUCUGGCAGCGGUUACUUUCACACAACGCCAGCUUUAUCCAGUUUGGUGGUCUGCCCCCAGACGUGCCGUGUUCUAAGCUGUAGAAGACGUCUAGAUGUAAAUAUCAGGGAGUAAAAGAUGUGAGAUGUGAGCUGUACAUCUACAUCAGCUCUGAAAAAAGUCUCGCCUCAGGCAGAAAAACUUCUGGAGCCAACUGGGAAAGAAGCUGAGGUGUGCAGCGUGUGCCUCGUCCAUACUAAACCCCAGGAAGAGGAAAAGGGAAAAAAGCUUCGGUGUGUUCAGCGUCCAUCUAAAGCGGAGCGCUGGAGCGAACGCUGAGAGAUCCAACUGAGGAAUAAAAAGUUUAGACGGUACGGAAGUUUCGUCGUUUUUGAUCAUUUCAGUCAACCGAUAAAGGUCAUGUCUGGUAGCUGGUGCUCUUUGGACCUUCCAGUGGUCAUAACAAUUACAUUUAGGGUCAUUUUAUAAUCUCUGUAUAAAUUGAAGCAUUUACCAACAAUUUUUCAUGAAUUCUAAAUCAAAUGUAAGAGUUUUGUCUUAAUAUGACAUAAAUAUAAAAUGUUUCAUACUUUUUUAAUAACACAGUUUAUGUAGCACAA